rnacentral:rRNA from 1 species
GCAUAUCAAUAAGCGGAGGAAAAGAAACCAACAGGGAUUGCCCCAGUAGCGGCGAGUGAAGCGGCAAGAGCUCAGAUUUGAAAUCGUGUUUCGGCACGAGUUGUAGAAUGUAGGCGGGAGUCUCUGUGGAGCGCGGUGUCCAAGUCCCUUGGAACAGGGUGCCUGAGAGGGUGAGAGCCCCGUAGGGUGCUGCGCGAAGCUUUUGAGGCCCUGCUGACGAGUCGAGUUGUUUGGGAAUGCAGCUCCAAGCGGGUGGUAAAUUCCAUCUAAGGCUAAAUAUUGGCGAGAGACCGAUAGCGAACAAGUACUGUGAAGGAAAGAUGAAAAGCACUUUGAAAAGAGAGUGAAACAGCACGUGAAAUUGUUGAAAGGGAAGGGUAUUGGGCUCGACAUGGGGGGUGCGCACCGCUGUCUCUUGUAGGCGGCGCUCUGGGCGCCCUCUGGGCCAGCAUCGGUUCCUGCUGCGGGAGAAGGGGCUCCGGAAAGUGGCUCUUCGGAGUGUUAUAGCCGGGGCCAGAUGCCGCGUGUGGGGACCGAGGACUGCGGCUUCUGUCUCGGAUGCUGGCAUAACGGCGCAAUACCGCCCGUCUU